rnacentral:rRNA from 1 species
CACGUAGGGUGCGAGCGUUGUCCGGAAUUAUUGGGCGUAAAGAGCUCGUAGGCGGUGUGUCGCGUCGGCCGUGAAAACCUGCAGCUUAACUGUGGGCUUGCGGUCGAUACGGGCAUCACUGGAGUUCGGCAGGGGAGACUGGAAUUCCUGGUGUAGCGGUGAAAUGCGCAGAUAUCAGGAGGAACACCGGUGGCGAAGGCGGUUCUCUGGGCGAUUACCUAA